rnacentral:lncRNA from 1 species
GGGUGACUUUACAGUGGCUGCUUUCUAAGUUUCAAAGUGACUUUCCAGGCAAGCUGAGCAUAUCUUGGGAUCUUCACAGCACAGUGGCUGGGAAGGCAGACCGUCUAUCAGCUUCUCCCUGGACCAACCUGUGACUUGUGGCUCUGUCUCCUCUGGUCUUCAUCAUUGUGGACUAUCCGCCCUAUGACAUUUUGUGCAGAGGUUUCCACAGCACAAACUCAGUCUACGUCCAGUGCUAUGCGUUCUUGGAGCUCCUGGUGUCCUGCCUUCUUCAUCCAGAAGGAAGGAGAAGACUGUCAUGGAUGUGAGCCUUUGGAAGGUUCUGAGAAUAACUGGGAGCUGAAACAGGAAGCCCCAUGACACAGUUGAUCGAAAAUGACACAGACACAGAAAAAUCAGGACGUGCCCCCAGCAGCACCCCUACCUGCUGCCUGCUGAUCGAAGCUGGGAGGCCCGUGAAGGGUUUCCACCAGGAAUGAACUCUACUCCAUACUCACGGGUGAUGGGCCUGCAAUCCUUGCUUUGGUGAUGUUCUUUUACAGCUGGUUUGUUUGUUUGUUUAAUUAAUUAGUUAGUCUACUAUUACUUUAUUUAUUGGCCCUCUUCCAUGUCGUGAUCUUUUCUUCAUUAAAAG